GUCUAGCACCCAAAAAUUGUGCACACCCACACUACACGGGCAUGUGCUAGUCAAUGACAAAUCAGAAAUAACUAACUGCCCACCUGGGCUGUCCUAAGCCAAGCUAGAGCCAACCAUUGGAUUUUGUGAGACACAGGAAGUGAGGUAGGGAACAGCCUCUGGAAUUGGCUCACUUCCUGUGGGGAGAGGGAGACGCCAGUUGGUGUUAGGAAGAGUUGGUGUUAGGAGCUUGGAGAGGGAGGACGCCCGCAGACAGCUUUCCUUCAGAUUGGUCACGUGAGUUAAGGACUGACUCUUUCCACCUGGGCCUUUGGGCCUAAAACUCCCUCUGCCUUGGUCAGAGGUUGAGUAGCCCCUUUCCCUUUUUCUCUUCUCUCCUUCUCUCCCUAUCCUUUUCCCUACUCCCAGUGUGAUUAAACCUCCAUAAACUUCAUUCUGACUUGAGUGUUUCAUUUUUAGGAAUUUCAUAAGUAAAUUCCUUGGCGGCCAUUGUUUAAUAUUACAUAAAUCCUGUAGCCACAUUCUUAACCAUUACAAUAUUAUAAUCUCUCCCAAAAGCCUAAAUUUCCACCAUUACAGUAUUGGCGAACCACUACGGGGGAAAAAGAACCUUAUCAGUCUUCUGAUCUCCUUACUAUCACCUGGGAGAAAUCCCACCCCGGCUACCCCCUCUGGCUCUUGGCCCUGCCUUAGUGCUUGGAAGGUUUCUAGAACCUCAAUAAAUUUCCUGAAUUUUCUUGCCUUUUCAACCCACUUAUUGCUCCGUCAGUCCUGUUACAAAAUACCUUGGCUUAAAGACACAGCUGCCAGAACAGGAAUUACAGCACAAACUGCGUGAGCUACAUGAAUCCGGAGCUGCAAUACAAGCUGGACCACUAGACUUCUCACUUCACAACCUGAACCCAGGAGACAACGUGUAUAUAAAGAAUUUCAAGCGUACUGGAGCAACUGAGCCUUCCUGGGAAGGACCAUUCCAAAUAUUGUUAACUACUCCAACAUCUAUAAAGGUUGGAGAAAAGGACUCUUGGAUUCACUGUUCUCAUGUAAAGAGAGCAUCUUCUGUUGAGACGGAUUGACUGUAUCCUAUACAUGCAUUGGAGAUAACUAUACAUUGACAAGUGGAACUGUUUUAUUCUGCUUUUGACACAUUGAAUUUCUAAAUUUAAUUUUUUUCCCUUUUUUCCUUUUUUUCUCUUUUCCUUAUUUUA
rnacentral:lncRNA from 1 species